CUGGUCUCAAGAAAGGGAGACACCUCUGUCUUUGUGCAACUUGAGACUGAAGAUCCUGCAAGAUACCAUGCCAUGGGUAUCUGAUCGGCAGCUGGAAAUCAGGUCCUGGGAUGCAGAGAGGUCAAAGCCAGAUCACAACUCAGAGUUAGUGGCUGAAGGCUUGGGGAUGGAUGAGAUUAUCCAGAAUAUCCUCUGUUGCAAGAGAGGGCAGAGGAAGAUUUAGGCUAACAUUUGCAGUAAUGAGACAAGCUGAGCUUGUAGAGGAACAUUACAUACUGAGUGGAAAUCAGGAAGGUUUAGAAGGUGCUCCCCUCAAGCUAGAAAAGGCCAAGGAAGAUGAAGAUAGCUUUGAAAGGGAAGUCUGUUCAGUGGGAUCAGAGGGAUGUGGUUCAAACUCUAGCUCAGCCACUGGACAGAUGGGUUGCUGCCUCCUCAUCUGUAAGAGAGGUAACUGUUUGCUUUACUAGGUAGUCAUGGGGACCAUGUGAGAUGAAAUGUGUAAAUGUUCAGUGCAUUACUAUUCUACUCAGCACUCAGCUGUUGGUGGGUAUUAUUAUUAUUAUUUUCCUAGGAUGCCAGGAUUUGAGAGCAGAGAGGGAAGGGCCGGGGAAAGAAUAGAUAGGACUUUUGGAAUGAGAUGCCAAUAAGAAUUUUGGUGCAGAAUGUAUAUUUUUCUGCCUGGCCUCCUUCCCAGACACUGGGAGGAUUUGGCUGAAGGAGCAGGAUCACAGUGCCAGGUACUGCGGAGGAUAAGGGGUACUGGACAGCAGGCACUGCAACUCUGUCUUUGCUCACAGUGCCCAGGAAGCAACCUGUGCCACCUUUCUCUGGCACCUAGGAGCUGGGGGCUGCAGCUAAGACCAUCUCAGGUCUGGUGGCUGCUAUUGGGAAAGCUUGGGACCGACGGAGUAAGUGAGUAUCUAUAAAGCCAUGUGGGUGAACUGUGCAGUAAAACUUGUGCUUAGGAAGGCAGUAUACACAGGAAAGAGCCUUGCUGCAGGAGGAAUGGAGGAGUAGGAGCUGGCCUCUCCAACAGGAGGCGGAGGAUGCAGUCCUGGUUGAUCCCUAAGCAGUGGAGUUAGCAAC
rnacentral:lncRNA from 1 species